rnacentral:rRNA from 1 species
ACGAACGCUGGCGGCGUGCUUAACACAUGCAAGUCGAACGUGAUUUUUGUGGAAAUUCUUUCGGGAAUGGAAAUGAAAUGAAAGUGGCGAACGGGUGAGUAACACGUGAGCAACCUACCUUACACAGGGGGAUAGCCGUUGGAAACGACGAUUAAUACCGCAUGAGACCACAGAAUCGCAUGAUAUAGGGGUCAAAGAUUUAUCGGUGUAAGAAGGGCUCGCGUCUGAUUAGCUAGUUGGAAGGGUAAAGGCCUACCAAGGCGACGAUAAGUAGCCGGUCUGAGAGGAUGAACGGCCACAUUGGAACUGAGACACGGUCCAAACUCCUACGGGAGGCAGCAGUGGGGAAUAUUGCACAAUGGGGGGAACCCUGAUGCAGCGACGCCGCGUGAGCGAAGAAGGUUUUCGAAUCGUAAAGCUCUGUCCUAUGAGAAGAUAAUGACGGUAUCAUAGGAGGAAGCCCCGGCUAAAUACGUG